AGAACGAACGCUGGCGGCAGGCUUAACACAUGCAAGUCGAACGCCCCGCAAGGGGAGUGGCAGACGGGUGAGUAACGCGUGGGAACGUGCCCUUCGCUUCGGAAUAGUCCCGGGAAACUGGGUUUAAUACCGGAUACGCCGUAUUGGGAAAGAUUUAUCGGCGAAGGAUCGGCCCGCGUUAGAUUAGGUAGUUGGCGGUGUAAUGGACCACCAAGCCUACGAUCUAUAGCUGGUCUGAGAGGAUGAUCGGCCACACUGGGACUGAGACACGGCCCAGACUCCUACGGGAGGCAGCAGUGGGGAAUCUUGGACAAUGGGCGCAAGCCUGAUCCAGCCAUGCCGCGUGAGUAGAAGACGGCGUUAGGGUUAGUAAACUCGUUCGCCGGUAGAAGAUAAUGGAACGGUAACCGGAGAAGAACGCCCGGAUAACGUUCGUGCCAGCAGCCGGA
rnacentral:rRNA from 1 species